rnacentral:lncRNA from 1 species
GCAAGAUGCAGGACUGAACUCCAGCUGUUGGGCGUGUCUGUCCCCUUUGGGCAGACUGCACCCUUCACCGGGCUCCUGACCUCAGCGGGGGUCUCCACCAGACCCGAGUCCUGUCCCAGUGUACUUGGGCACCAAGCCAGGCAAAGCCAGAGGGCUGGGUGCAGGUGAGUGGAGCGCACCUGGUGAGCUCAGGCCCUGGUUCCCUCCUUAGCACUGUGUGCGGCCACACGCGCACAUGCGCGCACGCACACACACGCACACACACGCAUAUGUGCACACAUACAAGUACACACACACAAGCACACACGCACACAUGCAUAGUUCACUCAACACGUGCGCGACCACACACGCACAUGCACACACACGCACACACACACAUAAGUGCACACACAAUGCACACACAGGCACACAAGCACAUACACAUAUACGUGCACACACACACAUGUGCACACACAUACACACACCCACACACGCACACACAACCACACACUCCCACACACAUGACACGAAGACAUGCAUGCGCCACACAGGAAAGACAUAUCCAAGAGCGGUUCAUGUGGAUUUCUGCAAAGUGAGAGACAGAGUCAACCAGAGGGCCUGUCGCCUGGGGCACUCUGGGGACUUGCAGGUGACAGGCUCAAUAAAGAACUUCCUGAAAGUCCACCUCCCCACCUCUCCACCUGUCCACCUCCCCACCUCCUCACCUGUCCACCUCCCCACCUGUCCACCUGUCCACCUCUUACCUCCCCACCUGUCCACCUCCUCACCUGUCCACCUCCCCACCUGUCCACCUCCCCACCUCUUACCUCCCCACCUGUCCACCUCCUCACCUGUCCCCCUCCCCUCUUGUCCACCUCUCCAUCUGUCCACCUGUCCAUCUCCUCACCUCUCCACCUCCCCACCUGUCCACCUCCCCACCUGUCCACCUGUCCAUCUGUCCACCUCUCCACUUCUUCUGUCAGCUCCCCGCCUGUUCUUUUCUCUGCCAGUCCACCUCUUCACCUCUCCACAAGUUCACUUCUGUCCUUGUCCACCUCUCGUCCACCUCUCCUUGUCCACCUCUCGUCCACCUCUCCUGUCCACCUGUCUACCUCUCUCCUUGUCCAUCUCUCCACCUGUCCACUUUUCUACCUAUCCAUUUCUCCUUCUGUGCACCUCUCUCCUUUUAAAAAAAAAAUUAGAAAAUUCGUUCUGAUUAGUUACACAGACAGUAGAUGCAUUUUGACACAUUGUGCCCAAAUGGAGCAGACCUCUCCUUCCUCUGGCUGCCCACCGUGCAGUCACAUCAGUAGUGUGAUCAUAGACGUAUAUGGGGUAAUAACGUCUGUCUCAUUCCAUGAUCCUUCCCACACCCACAGACCCUGCCCUCCCCUCCCUCUCUUCUGCA